CUCCAAUUUUUCGAGACAUGCUGCAAUAAGCCUGGUUCGCAGCAAACUUAAUCGAAUCUAGAGAUGUUUUCAUGAACGUCAACGAAGUAUAUUUUCCGAAUAGUACACGAAAAAGUAAAUGUGAACGAUGAUCACGACAU